ensembl:lncRNA
AUGCGACUGAAUUCAGUGAAGGCUCAGAAGGAGGGGCUGACGGGUGAUAUGUGCCCUGUGGUUUCACUACCAAACAGAUGGGAAAUCAUUGAGGUGAUACAGUCAGUGUUAUGUGUGUGCGAGAAGGAGAGAGAAAGAAAGAGUGAGAGAAAGGCACAAAGAUGUUACCAUCUGCCUCUGAAACCAUGAUGCCCAAGAAGUCUCCUGUGAUGGAUGUUUCACAGUGUCAUUGCCAUGGAAAGGCUCUUUGGUAUCCAGGGAGUGUUUCUCUAGUGAUUGGCUGAGUGGCUGGAGCAGCAGUCUUAUAUUUUUCACCUCUGCCUUUUGUCUGAUCUCUUAUCACUGCCUGUCUUUUCUUUGUCAGCAUAAGCUGGAACUGACUUCAUUAGAGAAAAAAAAUGGAAAAGAUCCAUUAAUGCAUUUGCAGAAAUCAUCAGGCUAAAUAAAUAUCAGCGAGACUGGGGCUAGCUGUCACAAAAGAUUUAUCUCAGUAACUGUAGGUUUUCUAAAGACUAAGUCCAAUUUACGCAAAUAUGUGUGUGUGUCUGUUUUAGUAUUUAUAUACAAGGGAAUUUCUCAUAAACGUCAAAUCGGGCAUGUUGUCAUAUUUUAAACGCGAUAAAUUAUUGCAGAAUUAAUUACACAACUUGUAAAUUACAAUAUUUUUUAAUUGGUGGUUUGAUGUGUUGUUAUAUUGUGCUUUUUUUUCUGUUUCAUGAGUUUCAUGAUGUCUUCUGUACUGUUUAAAUUAUGUUGAAAAAAGCUAGUAACGACCGUUUUGUUUGUGACAACAUGCCCCACUACAGGGCAAUGUUUAUUCGACAAACUGUAUUUUUUCCAGAGCAAUAACAUUGGAAAUGCUCAAUACUUGUAGUCAAGACAUUAAGAUUUUUUGAAAGAAUGUACUUUUUCAGUCUUCAAAAUUUAAUGUAAUUCAGUGUUUCCUGCUGUUUCUUUGUAAUUUCAGUAUUUGUGAAAUUGCUAGCAAUUUGUAAGUGAAACCUGUUGUAAAUACUACACCAGUUUUCAGUGCAGAUAGAAACUGAUUUCAACAAUAAUCCUAUCAAUGCAAUCCUGGUCUCAACCCUGGACAUAUUUUAUAUGUCUGAGGAGAUGUUAUAGUUUUCGGGAACCAUUAAACAGUAGUAAUGACAUAUGAACUGUCAUAUGCUUUUCACAAAUGGUUGAUUGCCAAAAUAAGCCCAAUUGCUCACACAGUAUUUUAUCAGAAAUACAUUUUAUCAGACCAUGACACAGAACACUGACUUCCUCAAUUUGAAAGGGUUCACUGAGAGAAAACAAAACCAGACUUUGGCUGAAUGAUCGUAUGGUCUAAGAACCCUUUCUAAAACACGUAGAUACUGCUGAAUAAGGAGCCCUUUGUUUGUGAUAUGGGUGUAUCACGCAAACCAAACGAAGGACAUCCAGUACAUCCUCGUGUGGUGGGCAGCUGAAUGAUUUGGCGUCAUGUUGGUUGGUCAGGGCAGGUUUUCCUGAUAGACAAGUUUGUUUUGCCAGUUCCGUCGUGACUGACUGUACUUUACCCAGCGUGUCGAUGUGCAGCACGCGCCGAGCGUCAUGACUGCUGUUUUUGUCCUCAUAUUACUGUUUACGUCAGGCAGUGUGGGGGGAGUUUUCCACUGACGAACACACACAACUCAACAACAGCUGAUCUCACUGUACUGUACGUGCAGCGAGAGCUAAGAAACAGGACGUUGGUGCUAUCUU